CCUACGGGAGGCAGCAGUCGAGAAUCAUUCACAAUGGGGGAAACCCUGAUGGUGCGACGCCGCGUGGGGGAAUGAAGGUCUUCGGAUUGUAAACCCCUGUCAUGUGGGAGCAAAUUAAAAAGAUAGUACCACACGAGGAAGAGACGGCUAACUCUGUGCCAGCAGCCGCGGUAAUACAGAGGUCUCAAGCGUUGUUCGGAAUCACUGGGCGUAAAGCGUGCGUAGGCUGUUUCGUAAGUCGUGUGUGAAAGGCGCGGGCUCAACCCGCGGACGGAACAUGAUACUGCGAGACUAGAGUAAUGGAGGGGGAACCGGAAUUCUCGGUGUAGCAGUGAAAUGCGUAGAUAUCGAGAGGAACACUCGUGGCGAAGGCGGGUUCCUGGACAUUAACUGACGCUGAGGCACGAAGGCCAGGGGAGCGAAAGGGAUUAGAUACCCCUGUAGUC
rnacentral:rRNA from 1 species